rnacentral:rRNA from 1 species
UACGUAGGGUGCAAGCGUUGUCCGGAAUUAUUGGGCGUAAAGAGCUCGUAGGCGGUCUGUCGCGUCGGCUGUGAAAACCCGAGGCUCAACCUCGGCCUGCAGUCGAUACGGGCAAACUAGAGUACUGCAGGGGAGACUGGAAUUCCUGGUGUAGCGGUGAAAUGCGCAGAUAUCAGGAGGAACACCGGUGGCGAAGGCGGGUCUCUGGGCAGUAACUGACGCUGAGGAGCGAAAGCGUGGGGAGCGAACAGG